UAAAGGAAUUGGCGGGGGAGCACUACAAGGGGUGGAGCGUGCGGUUUAAUUGGAUUCAACGCCGGGAACCUCACCGGGGGCGACGGCAGGAUGAAGGCCAGGCUGAAGGUCUUGCCGGACACGCCGAGAGGAGGUGCAUGGCCGCCGUCAGCUCGUACCGUGAGGCGUCCACUUAAGUGUGGUAACGAGCGAGACCCGCGCCCCCAGUUGCCAGUCCUUCCCGCUGGGAAGGAGGCACUCUGGGGGGACCGCCGGCGAUAAGCCGGAGGAAGGAGCGGGCGACGGUAGGUCAGUAUGCCCCGAAACCCCCGGGCUACACGCGCGCUACAAUGAGCGGGACAAUGGGAUCCGACCCCGAAAGGGGAGGGGAAUCCCCUAAACCCGCUCCCAGUUCGGAUCGCGGGCUGCAACUCGCCCGCGUGAAGCUGGAAUCCCUAGUACCCGCGUGUCAUCAUCGCGCGGCGAAUACGUCCCUGCUCCUUGCACACACCGCCA
rnacentral:rRNA from 1 species